GGCCGCCUGGCGAAAUGGCAUCGCGUCUGACUACGAUCAUCAUGCUCUGAUAAGUUAGUAUCAGGAGAUUGCAGGUUCGACCCCUGCGGUGGUCA